rnacentral:rRNA from 1 species
UACGUAGGUGGCAAGCGUUGUCCGGAAUUACUGGGUGUAAAGCGCGUGUAGGCGGGAGGCCAAGUCUGCUGUGAAAUCGCCCGGCCCAACUGGGCGGGGUCGGUGGAAACUGGUCACCUGGAGGACGGUAGAGGCGAGUGGAAUUCCCGGUGUAGUGGUGAAAUGCGUAGAGAUCGGGAGGAACACCAGUGGCGAAGGCGGCUCGCUGGGCCGGACCUGACGCUGAGACGCGAAGGCGUGGGGAGCGAACGGG